UACGUAGGGGGCAAGCGUUGUCCGGAAUUAUUGGGCGUAAAGAGCGUGUAGGCGGUCCGGUAAGUCAGCUGUGAAAGUCAAGGGCUCAACCCUUGAAAGCCGGUUGAUACUGUCGGGCUAGAGUCCGGAAGAGGCGAGUGGAAUUCCCGGUGUAGCGGUGAAAUGCGUAGAGAUCGGGAGGAACACCAGUGGCGAAGGCGGCUCGCUGGGCCGGACCUGACGCUGAGACGCGAAGGCGUGGGGAGCGAACGGG
rnacentral:rRNA from 1 species